AGCGAYUAAGCGUACACGGUGGAUGCCYUGGCAKUMAGAGGCGAUAAAGGGCGUGUUAWUCUGCGAUAAGCGUCGKUAAGKUUAUAUGAACCUUUAUACCCGACGAUACCCGAAUGGGGAAACCCGGUGCACUUGUGCAUCAUUGCAGCAUGAAUACAUAGUGCUGCAAGGCGAACCGGGGGAAYUGAAACAUYUAAGUACCCCGAGGAAAAGAAAUCAACCGAGAUUCCCCCAGUAGCGGCGAGCGAACGGGGAACAGCCCUGAACCUGAAUCAGUUUGUGCAUCAGUGGAAGCGUCUGGAAAGUCGCAGGGUACAGGUUGAUACUCCCGUACACAAAGGUGCACUUAUUGUGAGUUCGAAGAGUAGGGCGGGACACGUGAUAUCCUGUCUGAAGAUGGGGGGACCAUCCUCCAAGGCUAAAUACUCCUGACUGACCGAUAGUGAACCAGUACCGUGAGGGAAAGGCGAAAAGAACCCCGGCGAGGGGAGUGAAACAGAACCUGAAACCGUGUACGUACAAGCAGUGGGAGCAUCCUUCGGGGUGUGACUGCGUACCUUUUGUAUAAUGGGUCAGCGACUUAUAUUCUGUAGCAAGGUUAACCGUAUAGGGGAGCCGCAGGGAAACCGAGUCUUAACUGGGCGUUAAGUUGCAGGGUAUAGACCCGAAACCCGGUGAUCUAGCCAUGGGCAGGUUGAAGGUUGGGUAACACUAACUGGAGGACCGAACCGACUAAUGUUGAAAAAUUAGCGGAUGACCUGUGGCUGGGGGUGGAAGGCCAAUCAAACCGGGAGAUAGCUGGUUCUCCCCGAAAGCUAUUUAGGUAGCGCCUCGUGAACUCAUCUCCGGGGGUAGAGCACUGUUUCGGCUAGGGGGCCAUCCCGGCUUACCAACCCGAUGCAAACUGCGAA
rnacentral:rRNA from 1 species